GUCGAGUAAAUUCGGAAGUUGCAAGUUGCGAGCUUUUACACGCGUCUCAGAAGGUUGAACCGAAAGCAAUGUUUGGAAAUUUCCUGCAGUGCUUGUCUGGGACCAGCUGUGCAGAGCCGUGGCCAGCAGACGAGACAAGACAUGGCCCAGGUGUUUGUGAGAAAAUCUGAUAACCUACAGCAGAUCACAUCUUCAGAAGGACCUGCUUCCUUUCUGCAGGCAGCAGCUGUGUUAUUCUUUUGUGUUCAAAAGUCUGGCCUCCAGUCCCUCAAAAGCUCUGCAUGAUCAGACAGCAGAUCUACAGCAGCACAGUUGCCUUCAUCACACUGUUUAAGUGAUGGUGGACUAUACUGUACUGAAUCUCAAGCACCAGUGGCGUCUUGGAGAAGUAGUCAACACAAGAUCCUUGACU